rnacentral:rRNA from 1 species
AGCGAACGCUGGCGGCAGGCUUAACACAUGCAAGUCGAACGCCCGUAGCAAUACGGGAGUGGCAGACGGGUGAGUAACACGUGGGAACGUGCCCUUCAGUUCGGAACAACCCAGGGAAACUUGGGCUAAUACCGGAUACGUCCGUAAGGAGAAAGAUUUAUCGCUGAAGGAUCGGCCCGCGUCUGAUUAGCUAGUUGGUGAGGUAACGGCUCACCAAGGCGACGAUCAGUAGCUGGCUGAGAGGACGAUCAGCCACACUGGGACUGAGACACGGCCCAGACUCCUACGGGAGGCAGCAGUGGGGAAUCUUGGACAAUGGGCGCAAGCCUGAUCCAGCCAUGCCGCGUGAGUGAUAAGGCCUUAGGGUUGUAAAGCUCUUUCGGUGGGGAAGAUAAUGACGGUACCCACAGAAGAAGCCCC